AGGAGGCCUGGCUGAGCUCCGUGUCUAACGGGCCUCCAGCCUACACGCAGCCUGCCCUCCUGCCCUGGAGACUCCAGCUCCUGCUGUGACCCUAAGCCGGCCCUACCCUCUCCAGGCGAGUCGUCUCCCAUCUGUGUGUGUGAGAGCUUCUCUGACUGUCCUGAGUAACAGGCCCUCUGCCCCCGUGAACCACAGCAGUGACACAGGUGGGGAACGUGGGGAGGGGGAGGGCUCUCUGGAAAGAGGAAUGGUCCUCAGCCUCUUGCCAGGGACUUGCUUUUUAACUUUGCUCUUUUGUAGAAGGAUUCUGAAAGAAAACCAAUAAAAUGCACCUAAGCCAUCAAAAAAAAAAAAAAAAAAAAGAGCAGAAUCCGUGCGCAAAGCAGCUGCAACAUGGAAAAAGGGCCAGAGGCACGUAAGAGAGGAUGUGGGAAGACCACUUAGGAGGCCGUUGUGGUCCAGGGAAGAAGGACAGUGGUUUGGAUUCAGAUGGGGCAGUGACGAUGCAAAGUGCUGCACACAGUCCAAAGCGACUGAGGCAAUAAGAUGGGGCGAGAUGUGCUCAUCUGGCCACAGAGGCCCAGGGGGAGAGGUGUGUCAAAGGCCUCCAAGUUUCUGAGGGGCACAGCUGGCUGGUGCCUCUCACUGGGCGCUGGCCAGGGCUGCCGCCAGACGGGACAGGACGUUUCCUGUUAACUGAAGUUUUCCAUCAAGCCUGCUGCUCGCCUCUGCUUUGGAAGAGUGGGACCCAGAGCAACGGUACAGCUCAGGAGCUGCGGGGACCUUGGGCACCCGCCACGUCCCCGUGUCAUUACCCGAGACAAGGGUGGCGGGGGCCACACUGCAGUUCCUCCUCGUCCAGGCUGAUCUGCACGACCACCUCCCCGGAAGCAGAGCCUGCAAACACCGGGCGGGACUGAGAACCAGGAACUGCUGUGUCCACCAAACCUUCACUCCAGCCUCGUCCUUCCUGAGCCAUCAGCAGCUCUAGGUGACGUUCACUCCCUCCAGCUUCAGACAUUUUCUUCGCCCCCUCGUCUGCUGCUCUCCCUCCAGCCCCACUGGACGCUCCAUCCAGGUCUCUGUGGAGCCCAUCCAUCAGCAAAUCCUGGUAACUGUGCCUUCAAAGCACAUCCUGAACUGGACCACCUGUCAGCGCCUUUGCCACUGCCGCCCUGGUCCACCUCCUGGAUUUCUGCAGGAGCCUCCUAACUGCCUCCGUGCCUCCACCUCUAGCCCCUUCAGUCUGUUCUCAACACAGCAGCCAGACGGCCCUUUGAAAAUAUAAGAGCCUGUCGCUUCCGUGUUGAACAUCCUCCAAUGCCUUCCCCUCUUUCUUGGGGUAAAAGUUUAAGUCGUAACGAUGGCUCGUAAAACCCUUGGUGAUCAGUCCCUCUGCUAAUCUGACCUCACCUCCUACCUCUGUUCCCCUUGUUCACUCUGCAUCAGCCACAUGGGCCUCACUGAUGCUCCUCAAACAUGCAGAGGGGUCCCGCCUCCGGGCCACCGCACUUGCCAUUCCUUUUUCCUAGAACACUCUUCUCCCAGAUAUCGUCAGGGCUCACCCCUCGCUUUGUUCAGAUCUCCGCUCAAAUACUCCCUGAUCAGAGACAGGGAGCCCACCUCCCCGCCCUGCGCUGCUGGCUGCACAGCAUGUAACCACCUCGCAUGUGACUGCUUAGCGUCUGUCUCUCCCUCUAGAAAGCGCACGCAGCAAGGGCAGUAGCUUAUUGUUCACAGUCUAUUUUUCGGCACAUAUAAGCAAGGCUGAGGUGCAAACAGGCACAUAACCAGUCACUUGAUAAAAACCUGUGGAAGGAAAGAGCAAAGAGUAGCUGAGAGGACGACUGCUGGGCCAUGAGGAGGAAAACCAAGCCAGCUGGGAGAGGAGUGAGUGAGGGCACCAAAGAGCAGAAGCGACCAGACCGAGAGCUGCUCAAGACACGAGAAGCCACAGUCCCAACCUUCGUGAGGCCCGGGUGCCAGUGAGGUUUGCAAGGCACCCAGGUCACAAUCAUCCCCUGCCCCUUUCCUGAUGACAUGUGGCGGGGGGCGGGUUGUUCCUUGCGACCGAAACAGCCUUGACUUCCAACCAGCCACCCAGCCACCCAUCCACCUCUACUACUAGCCUCCCAAUCAUCCAGACAUCUCAUAAUUCAUCUACAAAUCAAACAGUCCAUGGGCCCCUCCAUCCCUACAAGCAUCCGUCAGCCUAACGUCCACGAAUCCACCCGUCAGUACAUAACCAACGAUCCCUUCAUACAUCAGCCUUUCAAAACACACAUGGUAGAGCAGGGCCAGGUUAUGAAAGGGACUUGGGCACCAGGCUGAGGCAAUCCAACUUUACUGCUAAAUAGGGGGGAGCUAUGGAAGCAGAAAGCUAUGGAGAUUUUGAGCGGAAAAGUUAUAUAAUCAGGUCUGUAUUUUAGAAAAAUAAUGCUGGCAGCAGUGAACAAGAUGGACCAGAGGGGGUAGUCUUAAGGCAGGAAGAUCAGCUGGGGUAAUGCUGCAAUAUUCUGGAUGAUGAAAUAGGGCAAAGGCAUAGCCGCUAGAGAAAGGAAGAGUCAAGCUGCAGAUGGGGAACGGCCCUGCAAGCAGGCCUGCCCAGAUGGGGGACCAUCUAAGAGGCCUUGGUUGGGCACCCACCAGAGGGACCCAGGCACCGUGCUUGCCCCCACCCUCAAGUGGGGCUGUGCCUCCCGCACAUUUGGCCCAAGACAUCCAGGAGAGGUACUUCCCAGGAUCCCAACCCAGAAGUGGUCCUUUCUGGGCCCAUCUGCAGAACCCUCUGCCCUACAGCUCAAGCCGCUGACAUUUGAGUACACAGUCACCCACCAGCUCUAGUCUCACACUUCAGCCCUGGUUGUGGAAAGCUGGGGCCUCUUCUCUGUUAAUUUUCUCCAACUCCUCCGAGGCUGGGCCUCAGGCCCAAUGAAGUCACAGUCUGGGAGGCAGCCCUGGCUCCCUGCCGGCCCACGGAGGCUAUAUUUGGAGCAAGACAACUCCCUGCAGACACAGACUCGGGGCCCACCCUGCAGCACUGCCCCAACCGAUUUUACCGAGUUUACAGGAGUUUCCAAGCAGUGUGGGCGUCACUCAUAUCUUCACGUGUUUGUUCAUUUACUCAUUUGUUCACUCAUUUAUCCAUUCCACAAAUAUUUAUUGAUCCCCUGGCACGAUGCAGCAGGAUGCAUGGCGGCACGUACACGCAUACAUAUGGGUACCUGCGUCUAAACAGGGAAGGCAGAACAUACUCUCGGUGCCCUCCCUCAGGGUUCAACAGCUCUGGUGACUCAGAAUCAGGUGCAUGCGCGUCAUUCACCUGUGUGCAUGUGCGCAGGCACGUGCUCUCUGCUCUCGGAGAGGCG